rnacentral:rRNA from 1 species
ACACGGCCCAGACUCUACGGGAGGCAGCAGUGGGGAAUAUGCACAAUGGCGAAAGCCUGAUGCAGCGACGCCGCGUGAGGGAUGACGGCCUUCGGGUUGUAAACCUCUUUCAGCAGGGAAGAAGCGAAAGUGACGGUACCUGCAGAAGAAGCGCCGGCUAACUACGUGCCAGCAGCCGCGGUAAUACGUAGGGCGCAAGCGUUGUCCGGAAUUAUUGGGCGUAAAGAGCUCGUAGGCGGCUUGUCACGUCGGAUGUGAAAGCCCGAGGCUUAACCUCGGGUCUGCAUUCGAUACGGGCUAGCUAGAGUGUGGUAGGGGAGAUCGGAAUUCCUGGUGUAGCGGUGAAAUGCGCAGAUAUCAGGAGGAACACCGGUGGCGAAGGCGGAUCUCUGGGCCAUUACUGACGCUGAGGAGCGAAAGCGUGGGGAGCGAACAGGAUUAGAUACCCUGGUAGUCCACGCCGUAAACGUUGGGAACUAGGUGUUGGCGACAUUCCACGUCGUCGGUGCCGCAGCUAACGCAUUAAGUUCCCCGCCUGGGGAGUACGGCCGCAAGGCUAAAACUCAAAGGAAUUGACGGGGGCCCGCACAAGCAGCGGAGCAUGUGGCUUAAUUCGACGCAACGCGAAGAACCUUACCAAGGCUUGACAUAUACCGGAAAGCAUUAGAGAUAGUGCCCCCCUUGUGGUCGGUAUACAGGUGGUGCAUGGCUGUCGUCAGCUYGUGUCGUGAGAUGUUGGGUUAAGUCCCGCAACGAGCGCAACCCUUGUCCUGUGUUGCCAGCAUGCCCUUCGGGGUGAUGGGGACUCACAGGAGACCGCCGGGGUCAACUCGGAGGAAGGUGGGGACGACGUCAAGUCAUCAUGCCCCUUAUGUCUUGGGCUGCACACGUGCUACAAUGGCCGGUACAAUGAGCUGCGAUACCGUGAGGUGGAGCGAAUCUCAAAAAGCCGGUCUCAKUUYGGAUUGGGGUCUGCAACUCGACCCCAUGAAGUCGGAG